UACAGAGGUCCCAAGCGUUGUUCGGAUUCACUGGGCGUAAAGGGUGCGUAGGCGGUCGGGUAAGUCUGACGUGAAAUCUUCAAGCUCAACUUGGAAACUGCGUCCGAUACUAUUCGGCUAGAGGAAUGGAGGGGAGACUGGAAUACUUGGUGUAGCAGUGAAAUGCGUAGAUAUCAAGUGGAACACCAGUGGCGAAGGCGAGUCUCUGGACAUUUCCUGACGCUGAGGCACGAAAGCCAGGGGAGCAAAAGGG
rnacentral:rRNA from 1 species